CCGGGGCAGAGCCCUCCGAUUCCAGCCAGCAGAGCGGCCUGGCUUCAGCUUUGUGGGCGCGGGCACGCAACAGUCACGGUCACGUCCUGCGGGUGCAAGGCCUGACCCAGUUGCCCGCCUCAGGAGCAUGGCAUCGGCCUUUGCGAGGGUGGUCAAGAGCGUGGUCCGGGAGCUGGACCACAGUGGAGAGCUCACCCCUGUGGACAGCCUGCAGAGCUCCACCAGCUUCCAGCUCUACUGCCUUUUGGGCAGGAGGUCCUCGAGUUCACGGUUCUGGAGACACCGCUACACACGUGUCAACCUGUCCAUCAGGGACAUCCUGGAGCCCGACGCCCCCGAGCCAGCUGUGGAGCAUGGCGGCACCUUCCGUUUCCACGACGCUGUGGACGGGCAGCUGCAGGGCAGCGUGGAGCUGGCGGCCCCAGGACAGGGGAAGCUGUCAGGUGGGGCCGCGGUGUCGGGCAGCUCCAGCACCUCGAUGCACGUGUGCAUGCUGCGAGUGGCCCCCAACACCUGGGAAGCCAUGCAUCGGGAGAGGCGCUUGCGGCAGCCUGAGCACAAAAUCCUGCAACAGCUGCGGAAUCGUGGGGAUGACGUGUUCGUCGUGACCGAGGUGCUGCAGACACAGAAGGAGGUGGAAGUCACCCGGACCCAAAAGCAGGAGGGCUCAGGCCAGUUUGCACUUCCGGGAGCCAUGUGCCUGCAGGGCAGAGGCGAGGGCCACCUGAGCCAGAAGAAGAUGGUCACUAUCCCCUCGGGCAGCAUCCUCGCAUUUCGGGUGGCCCAGCUGGUUAUUGGCUCUGACUGGGACAUCCUCUUCUUCCCGGACAAGAAGCAGACGACCUUCAGGCCACAGCAGCAAGGUGGCCAGCUGCCGUGGUCCUCCUGCCUCACCUCCAUAAGGUUCCUCGCUGUCCGCUUAAAGUUCCUGUCGGACGGGCCCGUGGAGGACCGGUUGGCGACCACCGAAGACUUCCAGGGCCUGCAGGCAGAAGUGGGGGCCUGGGCCGUGGGCCUGGAGGGCUUGUCCAAGGAGCCUUGUGGGCAGCUGCUGGGGGCCCUCAGGCAGGUGCUGCGGGACGAGGCUGCCCUGCAAGCCCUGGAUGAGUCGCUGGAGCACGGCCUGCGUGGAGGGCUUUUGGAGCCUCGGGAUGGUCCGGUGGGUGCUGUCCUCCAGUGCCUGGUGUUCUCCUCCAGAAGGCUGGAAGAGGAACUUGCCGGCCCCGUCUUCUACCUGCUGCAAGCUCUAGCUGUGCUGAGUGCAACCCAGCACGUGCUGCUGGCUGAGGUGCUGGAGAUGGGGGCCCUGUCGGGGGCGUUCAAACUGGUGGAGAGCCUUUUGGAGCAGAGCACCCCAUGGCAGGAGCGCAGGGCCGUGUCCCUGCCGCCCGAGCUCCUGGGGAGCAGCUGGGACUCAGAGGCACCCACCUGGGUCCUGCUGGAGGAGUGCGGCCUUGAGCCACAGGGAACUUGAGAACGUACUGAUGCAGGUAGCGGGGGCCCGUUCUUGCCCUCCGGGGCUGCAGAGAGGACAGAGAAAAGGUGUACUGACAAGCAGACAGAUCUGCACUCCUGGGGCUGCACUGGGGCCCCAGGGAAGUGACCCGAACCAGAGAAACUGGCCUUUGGGGUGUGUCUCAUCCAAAUUAAUUCGCUCAAAGGCGACGUGGGUUCGAGCCCUGGUCUGGGAAGAUCCCACGUGCCGCAGAGCAACGAAGCCCGUGUGCCACAACUACUGAGCCUGAGCUCUAGAGCCCGUGAGCCACAACUACUGAGCCCGCGUGCCACAACUACUGAAGCCCGCGUGCCUAGAGCCCGUGCUCCGCAACAAAGAGAAGCCACCACAAUGAGAAGCCCGCGCACCACAACGAAGACCCAACGCAGCCAAAAAUAAAUAAAUAAAUAAAUAAAUUUAUAAUAAAAAAAAA